rnacentral:rRNA from 1 species
UACGAAGGGGGGCUAGCGUUGUUCGGAAUUACUGGGCGUAAAGCGCGCGCAGGCGGUCUUCCAAGUCAGUGGUGAAAAGCCUGGAGCUCAACUCCAGAACUGCCAUUGAAACUGUUAGACUUGAGUACGAGAGAGGUGAGUGGAAUUCCCAGUGUAGAGGUGAAAUUCGUAGAUAUUGGGAAGAACACCAGUGGCGAAGGCGGCUCACUGGCUCGUAACUGACGCUCAGGCGCGACAGCGUGGGGAUCAAACAGG